AUUGAACGCUGGCGGCAUGCCUUACACAUGCAAGUCGAACGGCAGCACGGGUGCUUGCACCUGGUGGCGAGUGGCGAACGGGUGAGUAAUACAUCGGAACAUGUCCUGUAGUGGGGGAUAGCCCGGCGAAAGCCGGAUUAAUACCGCAUACGAUCUACGGGUGAAAGCGGGGGACCUUCGGGCCUCGCGCUAUAGGGUUGGCCGAUGGCUGAUUAGCUAGUUGGUGGGGUAAAGGCCUACCAAGGCGACGAUCAGUAGCUGGUCUGAGAGGACGACCAGCCACACUGGGACUGAGACACGGCCCAGACUCCUACGGGAGGCAGCAGUGGGGAAUUUUGGACAAUGGGCGAAAGCCUGAUCCAGCAAUGCCGCGUGUGUGAAGAAGGCCUUCGGGUUGUAAAGCACUUUUGUCCGGAAAGAAAUCCUUGGCCCUAAUACGGUCGGGGGAUGACGGUACCGGAAGAAUAAACACCGGCUAACUACGUG
rnacentral:rRNA from 1 species